rnacentral:rRNA from 1 species
ACUCCUACGGGAGGCAGCAGUAGGGAAUCUUCCACAAUGGACGCAAGUCUGAUGGAGCAACGCCGCGUGAGUGAAGAAGGUUUUCGGAUCGUAAAACUCUGUUGGUAGAGAAGAACGUUGGUGAGAGUGGAAAGCUCAUCAAGUGACGGUAACUACCCAGAAAGGGACGGCUAACUACGUGCCAGCAGCCGCGGUAAU